rnacentral:lncRNA from 1 species
CUGCCAUCAGGGAAUGAGCAGGCUUACCAGUGCUCUAGUUUACAGAUGUCUUAGUGACCCAUGUUCAUACGUAUAACUGGCUUCCUCUUCCUCGUCCACUGUUUUCUAUUCUUUAUCCCCCUUCCUUUUACUUGACAUCCUAACCCUGCUCCUGUCCUGAGGCCAUUAUGAAAACCUUAGAGCUUUGGAUCUGUAGCCUCAGAUACCAAGAAAAUGAAGAAAGCCUUGAGAAACAAAAAGAGCCUAAGGGAGUUAGCUCCAGGACAGACUGUCCUUAGCCAGAUUGGCUUGAAUAGCAUGGCAGAAAUGAUCCUCGUAGUUUUUAAAUUGCCUUUUAUCAGGCUACAUGCAGUCUUAUAAGAAAAAAAAAAGUUACUUUUAA